GGCCAGCCGGGGGCUCGCGCCAGCCACGAGGGAGCGUCCGCGGCUCACGCUCCCGCGCUGCGGAGGAGAGGUGAGCCCCGCGUCCACUCUGCCACCGCGUACCCUCCGCGUCUCGGCCGGGCUUCCUGCCUCUCGAGCCGCGUCCACGUCCUCCCGUGGACGGGAUGGACGCGGUGGUGCCCUGCGCCCCUCUGGGCUCUCGGUUAUGAGUAUGAUGCUUCCAUAUACGUUUGGAUGUUUUCAGCUAAGUUCACUUCUGAACUGUGGGGCUCCUCCAAGUGUUGACUGAAAUCUGUCCUUGAGCAUCCCCACGCUCAUCUAAUCUACAGUCCAUAAUGGAGCCACUGUACUGGCUUUUGGAAGGAGGAGAUUCUGAAGAUAGGGAGAUUCAGCAAUCAGUCUUUGAAAUUUCCUGUGGUCUGUUCAAUCUAGAUGCAAAGGACAUGGAAAAAUCAAGUGCUCAAGUGGUUUAAAUAUGUUUUGGAUAUUCUUAUUUAUAGAUUACAGGAUUUUUCCAAUUAAAAUCCGCAGUUGUCAUGCAGAAGGGGGUUAUGCCCUUUUUGAUCCCCCGUUUAUUUGAAAUGCUUAGCCUUAUAGUGUGUUACUGAAUGCUGUUUUAAUCAAAGUAUAGAAAAAUAAAAACAAUUUUGUAUGUUGAAAAAAAAAAAAAAAAAAAAAAAAAAAAAAAAAAAA
rnacentral:lncRNA from 1 species